rnacentral:rRNA from 1 species
AGAGUUUGAUCAUGGCUCAGGACAAACGCUGGCGGCGUGCCUAAUACAUGCAAGUCGAGCGACGAAAGCCUUCGGGUGAGUAAGAGCGGCGCACGGGAGAGGAAUACGUAGAUAAUCUGCCUUUUGUUGGGGAAUAACUUUCCGAAAGGAAAACUAAUACCGCAUAAGACCACAGGAUCUGAGGAUCUAGGGGUUAAAGGAGUAAUUCGACAAAAGAUGAGUCUGCGUCCGAUUAGCUAGUUGGUGAGGUAAUGGCUUACCAAGGCAAUGAUCGGUAGCUGGUCUGAGAGGAUGAUCAGCCUCACUGGAACUGAGACACGGUCCAGACUCCUACGGGAGGCAGCAGUAGGGAAUAUUGGACAAUGGGGGAAACCCUGAUCCAGCAACGCCGCGUGAGUGAUGAAGGCCUUCGGGUCGUAAAGCUCUGUCGUAAGGGAAAAAACAAAUGAUUGUACCUUACAAGAAAGGACCGGCCAACUUCGUGCCAGCAGCCGCGGUAAUACGGGGGGUCCAAGCGUUGUUCGGAAUCACUGGGCGUAAAGCGCGCGUAGGUGGCUUUUCAAGUCUGUUGUGAAAGCCCAGGGCCUAACCCUGGAAGUGCAGCAGAUACUGUUAAGCUUGAGUAUGGGAGAGGAUAGUGGAAUUCCUGGUGUAGUGGUGAAAUACGUAGAUAUCAGGAGGAACACCGGUGGCGAAGGCGGCUAUCUGGCCCAAUACUGACACUAAAGUGCGAAAGCGUGGGGAUCAAACAGAUUAGAUACCCUAGUAGUCC